UACGUAGGGUGCAAGAGUUGUCCGGAAUUAUUGGGCGUAAAGAGCUCGUAGGUGGCCUGUCGCGUCGGCUGUGAAAACUCGGGGCUCAACUCCGAGCUUGCAGUCGAUACGGGCAGGCUAGAGUUCGGCAGGGGAGACUGGAAUUCCUGGUGUAGCGGUGAAAUGCGCAGAUAUCAGGAGGAACACCGGUGGCGAAGGCGGGUCUCUGGGCCGAUACUGACACUGAGGAGCGAAAGCGUGGGGAGCGAACAGG
rnacentral:rRNA from 1 species